GGCAGGCCUGCCUGCUGAGCUCGGAGGAGGAGGAAGAGGAGGAAGCAGUGGGUUCAGUGGAACAGGAGGAGGUGGCAGGCCUGGUACCAGACGAUGGUGUCCAUAGUGGAAGCCCCAGCAGGAAGAGGACUGAAGAGGGCAGAAGUGAGUUGGGAGGAGUUGCUGCGUUCCUUGUUGCCCAGUUCAUACGCCUACAGGAACAAGAGAGGAGGCAAGCUCAGCAACUGGAGAGGAGGGUCACUGCAGUGGAGGAGCGCAUUGGCCAGCUGGAAUGCUUCAUCCAAAACAUAGAGACACUACUCCAGGAAUGGCUUGGUCAACAUUAGGUGUAUAUUUGUAAAUAUAUCUGUUUUUCAACACCUGGUGCCCUUCCCUUGUAAAAUACACAACAACCUAUGUGGGCAGGGCUGACUAGUGUCAUCUCAGAGAAGUCUGGGGCACCUGGAGGGCUAGUGGCAAAAGAAACAGGACAAGCGUAAUGCUCUGCAGCGGCACCAGUUUAUCUUUUGACAAUCCAGUGACCAAUAUGAAUAGAAACAUGCACAAAAGAGCGCAACAUUAGCACGUAGAGUUAGAACAGUAGGAAAAUUACUGUCUUUGUAGGUUUUAAUUAUUUUAUGGCUUUUAAAGGUUUUAAUGUUAUUGUAUUGUUAUUGAUACUGUAUUUAGUUUUAUUAUAUUUAAGUUUUGGGAUUUGUUUAUCAUAAGAA